rnacentral:rRNA from 1 species
CCUACGGGAGGCAGCAGUGAGGAAUAUUGGUCAAUGGGCGGAAGCCUGAACCAGCCAAGUAGCGUGAGGGAAGACGGUCCUAUGGAUUGUAAACCUCUUUUGUCGGGGAGCAAAAGACGCCACGCGUGGCGUUCCGAGAGUACCCGAAGAAAAAGAAUCGGCUAACCCCGGGCCAGCAGCCGCGGUAAUACGGAGGAUGCGAGCGUUAUCCGGAUUUAUUGGGUUUAAAGGGUGCGCAGGCGGAAGAUCAAGUCAGCGGGAAAAUUGAGAGGCUCAACCUCUUCGAGCCGUUGAAACUGGUUUUCUUGAGUGAGCGAGAAGUAUGCGGAAUGCGUGGUGUAGCGGUGAAAUGCAUAGAUAUCACGCAGAACUCCGAUUGCGAAGGCAGCAUACCGGCGCUCAACUGACGCUCAUGCACGAAAGUGUGGGUAUCGAACAGGAUUAGAUACCCCAGUAGUC